AAACUAACAAGGAUUCCCCUAGUAACGGCGAGUGAAGCGGGAAAAGCUCAAAUUUGUAAUCUGGCACUUUCAGUGUCCGAGUUGUAAUCUCGAGAAGUGUUUUCCGCGCCGGACUGCAUACAAGUCUGUUGGAAUACAGCGUCAUAGUGGUGAGAACCCCGUAACUGAUGCAGAUGCCCGGUGCUUUGUGAUACACUUUCGAAGAGUCGAGUUGUUUGGGAAUGCAGCUCAAAUUGGGUGGUAAAUUCCAUCUAAAGCUAAAUAUUGGCGAGAGACCGAUAGCGAACAAGUACCGUGAGGGAAAGAUGAAAAGCACUUUGGAAAGAGAGUUAACAGUACGUGAAAUUGUUGGAAGGGAAACGAUUGAAGUCAGACUUGCUAUUUGGAGUUCAGCCGCAAGGUGUAUUCUUCAAUUUGCAGGCCAGCAUCAGUUUUCGGGGGUGGAAAAUCGUGAGUUGAAGGUAGCAGCCUAGCUGUGUUAUAGCUUCUUACUGGAUUCACCUUUGGGGACUGAGGAACGCAGUGUGCUUUUAGCAAUACCUUCGGGUAUUUCACACUUAGGAUGCUGGUGGAAUGGCUUUAAACGAC
rnacentral:rRNA from 2 species